GGGGACGUAGUUCAAUUGGUCAGAGCACUGGCCUGUCACGCCAGAAGUUGCGAGUUCGAGUCUCGUCGUCCCCGCGA
rnacentral:tRNA from 1 species